rnacentral:rRNA from 1 species
UACAGAGGUCCCAAGCGUUGUUCGGAUUCACUGGGCGUAAAGCGUGCGUAGGUGGUUUGUUAAGUCUGAUGUGAAAGCCCUGGGCUCAACCUGGGAAUUGCAUUGGAUACUGGCAGGCUAGAGUGCGGUAGAGGAUGGCGGAAUUCCCGGUGUAGCAGUGAAAUGCGUAGAGAUCGGGAGGAACAUCUGUGGCGAAGGCGGCCAUCUGGACCAGCACUGACACUGAGGCACGAAAGCGUGGGGAGCAAACAGG